rnacentral:rRNA from 1 species
UACGAGGGGGGGUAAGCGUUGUUCGGAAUUACUGGGCGUAAAGGGCUCGUAGGCGGCCAACUAAGUCAUACGUGAAAUCCCUCAGCUUAACUGGGGAACUGCGUGUGAUACUGGAUGGCUUGGAUUUGGGAGAGGGAUGCGGAAUUCCAGGUGUAGCGGUGAAAUGCGUAGAUAUCUGGAGGAACACCGGUGGCGAAGGCGGCAUCCUGGACCAAUAUUGACGCUGAGGAGCGAAAGCCAGGGGAGCAAAGCGGG